CACAGAGUGCAAGGGCAUUACGCAUAUCAGUGAGGAUUCGUCCGAGAUUGCGUUUUUGCUAGUUGAAAACUAUCAGUGAGUUGACCUCACCCGCCGUCAAACCAGCGACGUCCACUGACUCCCAUCGCAGACAGACCGUAAGAGUCACCAACGAAUCGACGUAGAGGGCGCCUCCGCUGACUUCUGUAGGCUCUUGUUGGUCUUCGGAUCGGCAAGGAAUUUUUGAACACCCUCUGCGA
rnacentral:snRNA from 1 species